rnacentral:lncRNA from 1 species
ACCCUCAAGAUCCAUGACCCCCAAAAAAAAAUAGCCACCAGUGUGUGUAAUACAUAUUUUUUUUUGUGUGAGAGUGGGAAUCUUCUAAAGACCGUACCAGAUUCAGAGUAAACGGAGUACAUCCGAAAGCAGUUCCCCCUCUGGGGGCCUUGUCUCCGGAUGCGUCCGUGUUACAGUGCCUACCAACUAAACCCACUCUCGGCUUACGCGUGUGGCACGUCUUUCCAGACCGUUCUCUCGCGCGCACAGCCGCUCUUUUUCUGUUCUUUCCUUUUUCUCUCUGUUGCUUAUAUUGCUCUUGUUUACCCCUACUGUCUCUCUCUUUCUAUAAUCAGUAGACAGUGAUGAAAGCCGAUUUUGCGUCAUUGUAUUUCGAAGAGACACCGAGAAGAGAUGACUUUAUUCGCUUUAAAGUGGAGAAGGUUCUUUCAACUGAAGCGCUUGUUGCAGGUAUUGUAGCAAGUAACCAAAAUAACUUAUAGCUUUCAAGAAGAAUUUCAUUGGUUUCGUUGUCAAACAUACUUUUAAUUAGUUCUAACAAACUCUUAUCGUGAAAAUUUUCACGAUGAAUAGCA